rnacentral:tRNA from 1 species
UCCUAGGUAGCUCAGUGGUAAAGAAUCUGUCUGCAAUGCAGGAGACAUGGGUUCAAUCCCUGAGCUGGGAA